rnacentral:rRNA from 1 species
GGGUUGUGAGGUUAAGCGACUAAGCGUACACGGUGGAUGCCCUGGCAGUCAGAGGCGAUGAAGGGCGUGCUAAUCUGCGAUAAGCGCCGGUAAGGUGAUAUGAACCGUUAUAACCGGCGAUACCCGAAUGGGGAAACCCAGUGUGAUUCGUCACACUAUCAUUAACUGAAUCCAUAGGUUAAUGAGGCGAACCGGGGGAACUGAAACAUCUAAGUACCCCGAGGAAAAGAAAUCAACCGAGAUUCCCCCAGUAGCGGCGAGCGAACGGGGAGGAGCCCAGAGCCUGAAUCAGCAUGUGUGUUAGUGGAAGCGUCUGGAAAGGCGCGCGAUACAGGGUGACAGCCCCGUACACAAAAGCGCAUGUGCUGUGAGCUCGAUGAGUAGGGCGGGACACGUGGUAUCCUGUCUGAAUAUGGGGGGACCAUCCUCCAAGGCUAAAUACUCCUGACUGACCGAUAGUGAACCAGUACCGUGAGGGAAAGGCGAAAAGAACCCCGGCGAGGGGAGUGAAAAAGAACCUGAAACCGUGUACGUACAAGCAGUGGGAGCCCCACCACUAAGCCAGUGGUGAACUCCACAUCCGCAUCCUUUGCUGAGGAUACGGUUAACGGAGCGAAAGCGACGUUCAACCGCAAAACAAGCAGAGGGGGCUUAGUGGUGGGGUGACUGCGUACCUUUUGUAUAAUGGGUCAGCGACUUAUAUUCUGUAGCAAGGUUAACCGUAUAGGGGAGCCGGAGGGAAACCGAGUCUUAAUUGGGCGUUAAGUUGCAGGGUAUAGACCCGAAACCCGGUGAUCUAGCCAUGGGCAGGUUGAAGGUUGGGUAACACUAACUGGAGGACCGAACCGACUAAUGUUGAAAAAUUAGCGGAUGACCUGUGGCUGGGGGUGAAAGGCCAAUCAAACCGGGAGAUAGCUGGUUCUCCCCGAAAGCUAUUUAGGUAGCGCCUCGUGAAUUCAUCUCCGGGGGUAGAGCACUGUUUCGGCUAGGGGGCCAUCCCGGCUUACCAACCCGAUGCAAACUGCGAAUACCGGAGAAUGUUAUCACGGGAGACACACGGCGGGUGCUAACGUCCGUCGUGAAGAGGGAAACAACCCAGACCGCCAGCUAAGGUCCCAAAGUCAUGGUUAAGUGGGAAACGAUGUGGGAAGGCCCAGACAGCCAGGAUGUUGGCUUAGAAGCAGCCAUCAUUUAAAGAAAGCGUAAUAGCUCACUGGUCGAGUCGGCCUGCGCGGAAGAUGUAACGGGGCUAAACCAUGCACCGAAGCUGCGGCAGCGAACGUAUCACCCAAGACAACUUUACGGAGUUGACGAUUGACGGAGCGAAGCGACGUCAAAGCGUUCAUUAAAGUCGAGUUGGCUUAGGGAUACGUUCGUUGGGUAGGGGAGCGUUCUGUAAGCCUGUGAAGGUGUGUCGUGAGGCAUGCUGGAGGUAUCAGAAGUGCGAAUGCUGACAUAAGUAACGAUAAAGCGGGUGAAAAGCCCGCUCGCCGGAAGACCAAGGGUUCCUGUCCAACGUUAAUCGGGGCAGGGUGAGUCGACCCCUAAGGCGAGGCCGAAAGGCGUAGUCGAUGGGAAACGGGUUAAUAUUCCCGUACUUGGUGUUACUGCGAAGGGGGGACGGAGAAGGCUAUGUUGGCCGGGCGACGGUUGUCCCGGUUUAAGCGUGUAGGUGUGUGUUCCAGGUAAAUCCGGUUCACUUUAACACUGAGGCGUGACGACGAGGCACUACGGUGCUGAAGCAACAAAUGCCCUGCUUCCAGGAAAAGCCUCUAAGCAUCAGGUAACACGAAAUCGUACCCCAAACCGACACAGGUGGUCAGGUAGAGAAUACCAAGGCGCUUGAGAGAACUCGGGUGAAGGAACUAGGCAAAAUGGUGCCGUAACUUCGGGAGAAGGCACGCUGACACGUAGGUGAAGUGAUUUACUCAUGGAGCUGAAGUCAGUCGAAGAUACCAGCUGGCUGCAACUGUUUAUUAAAAACACAGCACUGUGCAAACACGAAAGUGGACGUAUACGGUGUGACGCCUGCCCGGUGCCGGAAGGUUAAUUGAUGGGGUCAGCG